rnacentral:rRNA from 1 species
UACAGAGGGGGCAAGCGUUGUUCGGAAUUACUGGGCGUAAAGGGCGCGUAGGCGGCCUGCUAAGUCGAACGUGAAAUCCCCGGGCUCAACCCGGGAACUGCGUCCGAUACUGGUUGGCUUGAAUCCGGGAGAGGGAUGCGGAAUUCCAGGUGUAGCGGUGAAAUGCGUAGAUAUCGGGAGGAACACCUGAGGCGAAGGCGGGCUACUGGGCCGAUACUGACGCUGAGGCGCGAAAGCCAGGGGAGCAAACGGG